AUUGAACGCUGGCGGCAGGCCUAACACAUGCAAGUCGAGCGGGGUUUUCGGACCUAGCGGCGGACGGGUGAGUAAUGCGUAGGAAGCUGCCCGAUAGAGGGGGAUACCAGUUGGAAACGACUGUUAAUACCGCAUAAUGUCUACGGACCAAAGUGUGGGACCUUCGGGCCACACGCUAUCGGAUGCGCCUACGUGGGAUUAGCUAGUUGGUGAGGUAAUGGCUCACCAAGGCGACGAUCUCUAGCUGGUUUGAGAGGAUGAUCAGCCACACUGGAACUGGGACACGGUCCAGACCACUACGGGAGUCAGCAGUGGGGAAUAUUGGACAAUGGGCGCAAGCCUGAUCCAGCCAUGCCGCGUGUGUGAAGAAGGCCUUCGGGUUGUAAAGCACUUUCAGCGAGGAGGAAGGGUGGUGUGUUAAUAGCACAUCAUUUUGACGUUACUCGCAGAAGAAGCACGGGCUAACUCUGUGCCAGCCGCCGCCGUAA
rnacentral:rRNA from 1 species